rnacentral:rRNA from 1 species
GAUGAACGCUGGCGGCGUGCCUAAUACAUGCAAGUCGAGCGAACAGACGAGGAGCUUGCUCCUCUGACGUUAGCGGCGGACGGGUGAGUAACACGUGGAUAACCUACCUAUAGACUGGGAUAACUUCGGGAAACCGGAGCUAAUACCGGAUAAUAUAUUGAACCGCAUGGUUCAAUAGUGAAAGACGGUUUUGCUGUCACUUAUAGAUGGAUCCGUGCCGCAUUAGCUAGUUGGUAAGGUAACGGCUUACCAAGGCAACGAUGCGUAGCCGACCUGAGAGGGUGAUCGGCCACACUGGAACUGAGACACGGUCCAGACUCCUACGGGAGGCAGCAGUAGGGAAUCUUCCGCAAUGGGCGAAAGCCUGACGGAGCAACGCCGCGUGAGUGAUGAAGGUCUUCGGAUCGUAAAACUCUGUUAUUAGGGAAGAACAAAUGUGUAAGUAACUAUGCACGUCUUGACGGUACCUAAUCAGAAAGCCACGGCUAACUACGUG